rnacentral:rRNA from 1 species
CCUACGGGGGGCAGCAGUGAGGAAUAUUGGUCAAUGGGCGAGAGCCUGAACCAGCCAAGUCGCGUGAAGGAUGACGGCCCUACGGGUUGUAAACUUCUUUUGUCAGGGAGCAAUUGAGUCCACGUGUGGUCUUAUCGAGAUUACCUGAGAAAAAAGCAUCGGCUAACUCCGUGCCAGCAGCCGCGGUAAUACGGGGGAUGCGAGCGUUAUCCGGUUUUAUUGGGUUUAAGGGGGGCGUAGGCGGAAUAUCAAGUCAGCGGUAAAAAUUCGGGGCUCAACCCCGUCGUGCCGUUGAAACUGAUGUUCUUGAGUGGGCGUGAGGUAUGCGGAAGGCGUGGUGUAGCGGUGAAAUGCAUAGAUAUCACGCAGAACUCCGAUUGCGAAGGCAGCAUACCGGCGCCCAACUGACGCUGAAGCACGAAAGCGUGGGUAUCGAACAGGAUUAGAUACCCCUGUAGUC